CUAAUUUGUACAAGUAAGACCGUAGGGUCAGGGUGGAAGUACUGAAAGUUUAGAGGUCAUCGUGCUCCCUUUGUGUGGCCCUUGCUGAUAGUGUCACUCCAGGGGGACUUUUGCUGAAAGCCUGUCCCUGUGUUUUGGCAGAUAUCUUAGUGGUGUUGUUGGUGUACAUGGUCACAAUUUUGUUUUGUGGUGUGGUGGUGAUUUUUUUGUGUGUGUGUUGUGUUUUUGUUUUGUUUUUGUUUUUUUUUUUUUUGUGUUUGAAGUAAUUUUGACUGCUGAUUUUCUAUUUUUCCUGCUUUGAGUGUGGCUUGGGAGAAAGGAGACUGACUUAAGGUUACUUAAACUUUCAUGUGCAAAUGUCCUCAUUUACUUCAAAGAAAGUAAUAACGUGUGAAAGUUAUAGAUCUGUUUAAGUCUCCACAGAGUCAUUGUUUUUGUUUGUGUUCUUUCAGAGCUUGGAGGAUAUAAAUUCCAUAUCCUUUCUGGGCAAACUAUUCUGAAGCUGUUCUAUACUUGCAGCCUUUUUUAAAAUAAAAAAAUAGGUGUCUGCCAGGCCUCAUGAGCUUUAUCCUACUUGGGACAGGAAGACGCGCUGGGUGUUAGCUGGUGUCUAUUAGCAUCUCUUUCAUGGUGGUCAGAAACAGUAAACUUCAUUUCUCAGAUUCAGCUGCUCCCCAUGCUCAGUUUCAAUUUAUUUAUUACUGGGCUUCCUCUGGUCUCCUCUCAUGCUUCCCUCUGGCUGUUCAAGAUUGUAGACAGAUCAGAAAGAAUCACUCUCUUCUAGGACAAACAUGGAUACGCAAGGUUCCCUUUGCAGAUUUGACUUUCAACCAUUUCCUAACACAUGUGAACAGACUUUAAAGUUGCUUCUAUACUGCAAGUCGUCUAUACUGGCCAUCUAUAGCACCCUUCUAACUGGAAGCAUGAUGCUAAGCAAAUCCCAGCUGCUCUUGGAACAGAUGAUGACUGUAUUUUACAUCCUUUAAAGAUACUUGCCACAAAGUAAGCACUUCACAAGAAAAGCCCUUUCAAUCAAGGACUCUUCCCAUCUCUCUGUGCCCCCUGCUCCAUAAGCAUGAGGAAUGGUAACUAAAGGAAUGGUCACAAAAAGACCAACUACACUAUGUAUGACAUCACUAAAUCCUGAUAGUGCAGGCCCACUUCACACAGAGAGCCUGUGCUCUGCAUUAGCAGUAACCCAAGAACUUUGCUAUGGCUAAAUGGCUUUCAGAGAGGUUAGACACACUUUUAAAAGUUGUAAAUGUGGAAUAAAAUAUUUGGUUUUGGGGAGUGUGGUUUUUUGUUUAUUUAUUUAUUUAUUUUGGGUGUGUGUAUGGGUGUUGUGUGUAGGGAUGUGGAUUUUUUUCAGGUCAGCUACUUAGGAUGUGUGCUGAAAAUGAAGAGGCUACUGAAGCAUGAUAGCAGUGUUUAUGAUGACAUCAAACCCUGAUAAUAGACAGCCUUCAGACUGGUUCAGCUCUCAGAAAUACCAUAUAUUCAUAUGAAAUGAAUACAAAUAUUUGUGACUAGAACACAAGUACUUGCCAUUUCCAUAUUUAUAUAAUAAGAGAUUUAUGGUAAUUCUUGGUAGUGAAUCUGCCUUUCUUUGGAUUCAGAAUUAUACUUUGCUGUAGUUUGGGGAGCCUGUAGGCAUGCUCUCACAAAAGCAUUACCCUAGUUUUACCAAGUUUACCGCAAUGAACAAGUGAGAUGUAAAUGAGAUCAGAAUCCAGGUCGUGGUAUAUACUGCACAUUACUGUGUACAUAUGGGAAAUUAUUCUUCUUUCCGGUCUGGUUACAGUAAAAGUAGUACGUCAUUAGGAAUUUUGCCAGGGGAAAUCCUUCUAUCCAACACUUGAGAGAUCAGGGCUACGUUAGAAACUCUUCAGUGACUAAAAUGUUUUUGAAUCUUAUUGACGCAAAUAUAGGCAGAAAAGAUUUUGAUAGCACAACUGCAUGUACUUCUGAAGGUUAGAAAUGUGCAGCGCUGCAGUUCAAUACACCUGCAGAAUCCCUGGAGCUUUCAACCCUUCAGAGUUUUCCGUAAGAAAUAAAUUACAGAGCACCUCCAAAUAAGGGAGAACUGCAAGAAUCUUGUUUCCUUUGUUCAGAACAGUGUCAAAGCAGACUGUAAAAGGGAAGAAUAGUUCAUACCUCUUAUUCUGAAUUCACAGCUCUCUUGUCUCUUUCUACUAUGUAGUGGAAGAUGAAGGAUUAAGUUGUUUUUAACUGGCCUUAUUCUUUUUUAAUAUUUCUUAUAAAUGUAGAUUGUCUAUCUUGGAAGGGAAUACUGCAGAACUGGAGAGUAUGUUCCAGAGGACAAAAAUUCAGCAAGGAAAAAGGAUAUUUCAUCAUGAUGUUAAAAUAUUAUAAUGAAUUAAUUGGUCAUUUACUUGGCAGGUAAAAGGCUUGGAGAAGGUGAGAGAUGCUGGGUCAGCAACAAAUCAAAAACAAAACAAACAAAAAAGAAUUAUGGGAAGGAGAACUGUAUCAAUUUGGCUCUUUUCUGUAUGAUUGCUGCUCCCAAGUGGAUUAGAGGAAUUCUGCUGGAGGGUAGGGAGAGACGGAAUCACCCACUGGAGAGAUUUUCAAUCUUGUUUAUAAACUGGAUUGAUAACAAAGCCAUCCUGAACCAGGGAAAUGCUGAAGUGUGUGGGGUUGGUUUUUUUGUUUGUUUGUUUUGUUCUGGCCUUCUCAUCUUCUUAUCUGCUGUUUGGAUACUCACAUAUUUCACUUUAAUGUUUAAAAUAAUGCUUACUUCACUAUUUCAGUGAAACUUCAAACUUGGUUACUGGAAAGGGCUGGUGGAAAAAAAAAAUGUGUUUGCACCUCUUAAAGGGAUCAGACGUGGCAGCCAAAGUACCAUCACUGUUUCAAUAUUAAAAGACUACCAACGUCUUGUCCCUGGCUUUGGAAGUUCAGAUGUGAUGUGGCUGGUACUGUGAUAAUAAAGAAUAAUGAAAAAUGUGAAGAAAGUGACACAUUUUCACACAGCACUUGAAACUGUUGUAGGGAGCAAUUAUUACUUGUGUUAACGUUUGGUUUUGAUAAAAAUGACAGGCAUAUCUAGACAGAUGUGUUGAGUGAGUCACAAAAUGGCAGAUUCUGAUGUAACGGUUCUGAAAGUGAAUGCUUCACAAAUACCUGAAGAGACCAUGUAUGGUAUUUCUACUUUUACAAGAGGUUAAGCAGCACACCACUAUGCAGUCCUUCCUAAAGCUGGAAAAUCCUUUCUGUAAGGAGGGAAAAAAAACAACCAACCAACAAAACCCCCCACAAACAAACAAAAAAAACCCAACACAACCAAACAAAAUGAAACUGUUGUUAAGCCAAGUAGUUCUGUUGGACAAAGAACCUGGCCGUUGAAAAAUGGCUUCCUAAGGUUUGUGUCUCUUGAUGGAUUUUCUUGAAGUGGUUUGAGUUCAAAGGGAAUCUUUUUCUGUCUUUCGGAUGUCUGUUGUCCUCCUAUGAGGGUUUCUGGGUUGUACUUGUACAGCCCCCUACAUUUAAGGGCUAAUCAGUUUUUCCUUUUUUUUUUUUUUUUCUUCAAACGUGUAGGAACUAAAUGCCUUUCUCCCCUUCUGGCAUGUUUGGUUGAAACUGGCCAACGUGUCCCGAGACUUGAACAUACAUGGAAAACAAGACAGGCUGGAAAUAUGUAAAUCUUCCAGGCCAGGGACAUAGAACAGGAACACUUGCUUUGCAUUUCAUUUUGCCAGGCUAGGAAAAAACAUUGUCAAGAUUAGCUAGUAGUUUUAGCACUCCUUGAGGCAGCUGAGCCUCUAUGUCUGAACCAAUUACUAUGGUUUUAGUAGGCAAAAAGGCACAGCGAUUUUGGCAUGACUAGAGUUGCAAGCCUUGCCAAAAGGCAUGGCGCCCCUAGGGAUUUGGAGAUUCAACGUGUCAAAAUGAGUUUGGUCUUAAAAUAAGUGCCAGUCAAUAUUUUAUUCCACAAUGAUUAGCACUGGAGAAGUUUUUGAUCUCUGUUCCUACUCUUAGAGGUUUGGACAAAUGGUCUUGGUAAUGUCUGUGUAACACUGCGUCAACUAUGCAGAUGAGGAAUAAGGGAAAGCUUGAUUAUUUUCAUCUAAAAACUGUCAAGGGCUCAACAAUAAGACUCUUUCCAGUAUCUAGAGAGAGUAUAGAAAACAGAAUUCAGCUUUAGGACACAAAGCACAAAUUUCCCAACAAGAUCUAAAACUGAAAGAAAGGUGAAGUCCUUGCAAACAGUCUGUUAAUUUGCAAGUAAUUGCUGUAAUAGAAAAGUGCUCAGCUGAGAUCUUUGGUUACUAUUUAGAAUGACAAUGCAAAGAGUUAAAUCCUAUUUUCUUUCAAUCCAAUAUUAAAACAACAUCAAACAAUGCCCCGGAAAAUGUAUGUAAAUUAUAAACAGGCUGUUUUGUACUUCUCAGUCUAGUGCUGUGUACUGCAAAAUGUUAAGCUGAUAAAGAGUAAAGGGCUGCACUAUUUUAAGCUCUCUUAUCCAGUUAGCUGACUAAAACUGUUUUAUAGCUAGAACAGAGCAUCUGGGCUGGUACACAUAGCAUUCAUCAGUGACUGUAAAUCUGUGAAAAAGAGCAGAGAAACAAGCAGCUUGGAAUUGAUUCUGUCAAGCCCACAACAUCUGAACAAUUUGUAGCUAGAAAACCCCACUGAUGCUCAGAAAUCACAAGUAUCUGCCAGUCCUUCAUGAUUUUUCUCUGCGAGCAUGUGCUGUUUUUCUGAAGUUCCUAUGUGCCUUCUAAAAAAAAAAAAAAGUGGAAGAUGGAACAUACUGUACUAAACAGCAAAGGAACGAAGCCAGGUUUGAAAGGAGAAAAACAAUUCAGACUGGGACACUCACUCUAUCUCCCAAUUUAUCGUAGUUUGCAUAUUAAAAGGUUGCUAAAUUCGCUUGUUUUCUUCCUUUGUCUUGCAAGUCAAUACCAGGUGACUGAUUAGUGCCCUAUUUCUCCCACCUAAAACCUCCAAAGAGGUCAUGGAGUUUAUAAAGGAUUGUCUGCCCUAGGCAGGUCAUCUACUAACAGAUGUCGCUCUCAAUCUUGUUCGUGACUUUUAACCUGACCUAUGCCUUUCAGUCACUGUAAGAGGCUCAGUAGUGCAAUAACAUGUGCCUCAGCUUCCAGAUUAUUAAUUGAGAAAGUAAAAAUCCAGCCAUUUACCACUUCAACAUACUUUCUUGCGAAGAGCCCUUAUGUAGCAUUUAAAUUGCUGCUUUUGGUCUUAACAGAGGAAUUUUGACUACAUUGGAUUGAGUAAUCCUGAAACCAGAUCUGCAUUCACAGAGUAGGAAGCUGAGUUAUAACAGACCUAAUAUUAACUAAAAAUACUUUUUUUUUUUUAACCCCGUAAGUGCAAUAAAAUAAAAUAAAAUCCUUUUUCAUUUUCAACAGGAAAAUUUAUUCUGAACUGUUUAGUUAUAUUCAUUAGAAAAGUUAAGAAAAGUAUCAAGAAAGAAAUAUUAAUCUCUGUUUUGGGGUGGCUGUGUGACUUUGGAUCCUAACUGUAUGGGUUUUAUUUUCAUAUUUUAAGUACUUUUGCAACUGAACUUGAAUAGAAUAUAUAUAUAUAUAUAUACUCUUGAGGCAGUAUAGAUUUUCAGAGAAAGCACUAUCCACUGGAGGAUGUUGAAAUAAAAAGGUGCUGUAAGGGAUAAUGCUGUGGGCUGAUGGCACUGUGAAAUUUCUGCUUUUGGUCUCGAAAGCAAUAGCACUUAAGUGGAGGUUAAACACAGUGAUAGAAAGUGUUAAAGCCACCUUUGUUUUGUGUGGGGUUUUUUGUUUGUUUUGUUUUUUACCUCAUUUGUAGAUGCCUCCAUGUAGAUAUUUGUUCUAGCCUCUGCAUUCAGUGUAUGAAACUUUUGUGAAAACUCUUGGUUUAAGGAAAUACCAGUGUUCCACUCAUCAGGUCUCUUCCCAUGGCCUUGCUGCGGUAGUGGGAUGGGGAGAGGCUGCAGAGCUUUGGUUUUGCAUAACUCUGAGCUCAUGAUCAGGUUUGACCAGAUGCUAUAUCUCGACUGGACUAGUGCAUUUCCACGAACUUCUGUAACUUGUGGCUGGGGCUGACCCAGCUCCUCAGAGCAGCCUGCCUGUCAGAGGUACAUCUAACCCUGACUCUCCAGGGAACAUGGCUGAGGGCUGCUCCUCUGAAGGUUUGCUGCCUCUGUUUCCUAAUCUGUCCCCAGUCAGAGCUGACCUCUGAGUUGUUCCUCACGUGCAUGUGAAUAUAAACACGUUAGAUUGUCUCCCACUCACCGCCCUGCAUGUGUUGUGUAGGUUGGACAGUGAACUGUUGUGAAAGGGUGACUGUUUUCUUCCAAACAUACACCAUGUACCAAGUUCCUAGCAGUUUCCAGGUCUACUUUUUGUUAGUAAGAAUACCACCAACAGCAAGAUCAGGCUGCGGAAGAUCACCUUGAUCUCUGUGGAGAAGGGUGCAGAAAGUCCAUCACUCUGGAUGCUGAGCCUGUCAGGAAUGGUAUAAUGGUGGUAGAAGAUGUCCCCUUGGACAUGGCAGUGGUGAUUCUACCUCAGCUUAAUGAGCUACUGAGACAGGUAUUCUCUGUAUCUGGGAGUAUUUCUGAUUUUGCUGCUUUCUGCUGUGACAAUUCAGCUCUGCUGCUUUUCCUGGUGCAGGCUGGUACCAAGUGAUCCAUCCAGGCUCUGCUUCUCCUCCAUUUCCAACAGUGAUGCUGCUGUCAGAUGGGUGCCCUGCUGCACUCCCACCCAUACUGGCUGCAGCAGGGAGGCACCUGCGGCUGAGUCUUAGAUGUGAGAGCACUAGGGUGACCUUAAAACUGAGUGUCCCACAGCCCAUGUGGGAUGGUGGCUCUGAGCUGUCAGCUGUUAGUGUGCAUGGGCUGGCUUUCCAGCUUGGUGUGGGGGGGGGGAAGGUAUAGCAACAAAACUUCUCUCAGGCCUGAGAACUCAGCUCUAGCAUGAGGCUUUCCCCUCUCCUAUUAUCUGUAUGCAUGCUCUGGGUCUGGAGAGAUAAUUAGUCUUUUUUGGGAAAUUUUCUUCUUAUCUAAGUGCUAUGAUAAGGAGUUACAGGCAGUGCCCUUCAUAAAAAUGUGGCUGGUGUAGCAAUGCACCACUAAGCAAUGUGUUUUAGCCAGCUGUAGCUGGAAGGUGUCCCUCAGCACUGUCAACACAGCACUACCAGCAUGAGAGAGAGAGAGGAGGUGCAGGCAAAUGGAGAUGGGCGGAAGGAGCUGGCUGUCCUGCUGGGAUGAAAAUCGGUGGCUAAGCAAAAUGAAAAGAGGCUCCUUAUCUGAAUAGUUACCUUUUCCCCACUCUAUUGUGGGCAGUCACUCCUAUCUUUGCGCUGCUGUGGAGUGGGAGCACAGACUCCCACUGUGUCUGAUCUGGCUAGUUGCCAAUCCUGCCUCUUGCCUGAUCCCUGCUUGUUACACAAGUAUCAGAGGCUGGGAGACCUUUUAUAGAAAUGGCUUUUAAUUCUUUUUGAAUGUGAGACUAAGUAUUGCAAGUGAGGCAACUGCAGGUGCAUGGGAGAGAUUGAGGAUGGGUUUUAUUAGGCAAAAGGGAAACUAUUUAUGGAAUUGAGUUAUGUAUGAAACACUUUGCUCUUAUGGCUGAAACAGGGGUGCGUGACCUCACCCUGUUCCUGCCAGCUAGGGAGUUUGCUCUUCAUGUAUAAUCCUGUUCAGAUUUCAUAUCUGCCCUGUUGUGGACCUGAAAAAGGCUAUUCUUUGCUCACUUUAUACAGAUUCGCAGGCUUGUUUAAUGUUGGACAUGGGAAGAAUUUUUACUUUCUGCAGCUCUCCAGGAGCUUUUCUUACACAACCAUCCCCAACCUCUGGUCAUUGUCUAAAGUGGGAUGGAAAAAUGAACUUGGGAACUGUGGGUUGAAUGUAAACUGCAAGCUGGGCUGGAGAGUCUUGGGGGAUAUCUUUUCCAUUAAAGCUUCAAGCUGAUGCUGUUGUAUGGGCCUUAUCAUGAACAUCAGAUGCAAAACACAGAGUGCUACUUUUGUUUUUUUCUUGUUUGUGCAUGAUGAGUAGGAAUAAGACAGAGGGAAUUAUAAGAAGACUGAACCAAUAGUUACUUGGUCAAGGGAUGUACUUGGGUAUUUUUGGUUUUGCUUUCUGCUCUAACACACCAUGCAUUGUAGCAUUGUUGUCCAGAAUAACAUGCCAUGGGAUGAGAUCAACUUGCCUUUGCUAUGUGGAAAUCAUGAUGUGACUUCUAUUUUGUUUGCAGGAAGGAGAAUAAGCUGCUUGUGACAUGGCUGUUAAAUUUUAUUUUUGCCACUUGUGUCCUUUUCUUAUGCUUUAAUUGCACCUGGCAUCAACACAGCUUGCUGAGGGUUAUGGAAAGCUGAGAUUUUAUAACUGGAAAUAUCCAAAGAUAUUUUAUUAAAGCAAGUCUUGGCAGCCAAAGUCCAUGUGAACUUGGCUUUGUGUAGUUUUGUUCUUAAAUAACUGAGACCUUGGAGUCAAUGUAAUUCAUUGUGCUCUAUGUAAAUGAGGCUGUACUAAAUGUCUAACGCAUGUUAUUCCCCCCAGAUCGUAGAUGAGGUGUCUGGGGGAAAAUGACAGUACCCGACUGAUAACAGCUACCCACCAGGGAAGUUCCUGGCCUUCAAUUGUAUAAAGAUAUGAGCACAAACGUAUUAUUACACUACUAGAGAGCCAGAGGAAGGAAUUCUUCCUGUCCUUUUUAGGGGGCACGCAGGUCUUUAUCCUUCCAGCCAAGAGCAAUUUUUGCAACAAUCUGUCUUCUUGAGGGAUUAAGCCAGUGUCAAAGACAGGGAGGCAGAACUGUUAAUUGCAGGCAAAUCAGUUGGGGUAAAAAUGCAAUUAGAAAAGACAUUGUGGAAACUGGCAAAUCCCAGGCACAGUUUCUUCAUACCAAGAUUUUCUAUGCUUUACUUCAUGUGUUUAGACUUGCCAAGCUACCCCCUUGGUAAAGCCUGUAACAAAAGGGAAUUUAUCAGCAAUUUAUGACGAAGACCUCUAUGGAAGACCUCUCGGGCAUCUCAUGUCAAAUUGCACAUUUUUCAUCUGCUAGUGCACUUGUUUAAGGUUGUGUAGGCCUACCUAUGCCUGGAUUAUUUUUAAAGGUAUACACUUUCAAGCAGUCGACAAGAGCUGCUGUCUGAAAAAGAUUACAUGAAAACAAACUUUCAGCUAAAGAUACUUCAGGAAACACAGAUGACUAAAUGGGAUUAAUCACUUAUUCCCCUAUAAGAAAAUAUAAAGCCUGAAAAGUGUUUUGUAAGCAACGUUCCUGCACAAAGAACUUGAUGCAGGAAGCUUUCUAUGUAACUCCGUUUGAAUUAGGCUUUGUGUAGUUUCUGUGAGUUGCAGUAGUUUCUGCAUAGUUCGUGUGAGUUUCUCCUCAGAUCUGGACUGGUGCUUCUCAUUACUAUGGACAUCUUCUAGAAAUCAUCUAAUGCAAAAUUAAAAAAGACAAACUAACAAAAAAACCAAAGCCAUUAACAUUUGUAGAGACAGAACUCUGUGAAAUAAAAUGUAUGUAAAGAAAGAUCUCUUAGAUAGACAAAAAUUAACUUACACAGAUGUAGUGAAUCUCCCUUGUAUCUUAGACCCUUUGUCUCCCUUUCCAGUAUUCACAAAGGUAUUAACUUUUUUUUUUUUUUUUUUUCCCACCUUGAUGUGGAGGUUGAAUACAGGAUUUUUGUUAUGAAGAAAAUAAUGAAAGAAAAAUUGCCUGUACAGAGACUCCUUUCCAAGCUCUUGGAAAUCUGGCUCCUGGAAAUUCAAAUACCUUAGAAUUCAAGCUGCGUUACAUGAAGUUUUGAUGUUGAGUAUCUAUGUGAUUAGAGCUCUAGGUCUGGUCUGAAGAGAUGCUAAAGUGUUCACGAGCUGUUCGUACUUUGUUAAUGCUUCCUGGGAUAAAACAGGUAAAUGCCAUGGCAUUUUCAAUCCAUCUACCAGCUCCAGGCAUUCUGUUUAGGACUGUAAAAAAACCCCAGACAAACCUGGGGAGGGGAGAAUAGUUGAGAGCUGAUCUCUGACUGAAGAUGAAAAAUGUAAUUUGGCUAGAAUGCAAUUAAUAUCAUGUUAUGUGGAGAAGAUUCACCAAACAGGAGUGUCAUUUCUGAUUUCCACUCCCUGUCUGAUUCCUGGUAAAGCCUGAACAGAGCACUAAUAUGAUGUCUGUCUUCUUCUGUACUAAAUGGCAGAGUAUAAUGAGGAGAUUUGUAAAGAAAAAACAAAACCUAAACAAAACACAAACCCCCAGCAACCCACAGCAACAACAAAGAACCACCAAAACCACGAAACCCAACCAAACAAAAAACAACCAAUGAAAAAAGCCACACAACAACAACAAACUACCACCAAUAAAAAAAACCCACCAAUCAAUCCUUGGGAAUGAAAAUGACUUCUGAACUGUACCUGCCCCGAACUCUAGAAGAGGGAUUGGUGUUUUUUGUUGUUGUUUUUGGUUGGUUUGGUUGGUUGAUUGUUUGUGUGUGUGUUGUGUUGCUGUUGUGUGUUUUUUUUUUUUUUUUUUUUUUGCUUUUAUACCCUAGAUAUUAUUGCAGGUGGUGUAGCAUCUCUAACCUGGGUUGUGGCACUUGAACUCCAUCUAGUCCACCAUGCCUUUUUCUCACACUUUUGCAACCCAUACUGUAGUCAGAAGAGUGGUUGCAGCUUGUUCAGGAACACGUAAGCUAAUCUAGAAGUAGCCAAACUAGCUUCAAAAAUGGGGUUGUGGCAACACAAAGUAACUUUAUCUUCCAUAAAGAUUUUUAUCCAGGUUUCUACAUGUAUGUUUCUAUAGCUGAAACCUUGCUGGUGCUGCUUGGUAUGAUUCUGUGCUUGGCUAACACUGAUGGAAGUCAGUACUUCUGGGCAUCAGAAGUCCAUUCUGCUGCCAGGGAGAAUUUAAGCCAGACUCAUCCUUUGUUUUUUUUUUUUUUUUUGAGCCAGUAGUGGUGAUUGGACAGAUGACUGCUGGGUGGUUUGCUCCUUCUCACAGUGAUGUGGUCUUAAAGCAUCAAUGCAACAGUGCCCUGAGCUGGUUUCAAGCUGACUCAGGCAAGCCGACACAGGGAGGAGGGUGUAGUAACAACUUUGGUCUCUGAGUGUGCAAACCUGAAAUGUUAUGGGUGUCAUGGCACAGCACACAGCAAGAAUAACAGUCCAACUCCAGUAGUAUUGAUGGUGCUAGAUCCUGGACUGUGUUGCUUCCACAAUCAGCUUGGCUUAAGUUGAAAAUAAAAAAUGUGUUUCUGUGCUGCUAUAGUAAUUGAAUUUUAGAUGUGUCUUCUCCUGAAUGCAAUCCAGAGCAUUAUGUAUCAUGUGACUAUGGUUGAUAUAUGGGAGACAAAGGAUGGUACAGAAGAACGUGCUGCAGCAGUUUAAGAAGUUAUUACCUGCAACUCUCCGUUCCACCCUUCUUCAGGAGUUUCUAGUCUCCUUAUCAGAGCUGGCAAAGACAAUGUGUACCAACAGCAAAGUUAGCUCAGAUCAUAACCUGGUGUAACUUAGAUUCAUAAUGACUCUGGCACAUGUUUUCAGAGAGGUUUAGCUGCUGCUUCUGAACAGUGUCUCCCCUGUCCCUAUACAAAAAGUUGGAAGAGAGCGCUGGACAGGACAUUUAGUUGCUUCUGAACUCUCCCAGUGCACACUGAUAACAUCUGCAAACUCUGGCAGCUGAGGUGUGGAUACACACCCUGUGCAGCUGCCCUUGUUACAGGGCAACAGCUGCAGGAGAGGGAAGUGCUGGGCAAUGGGAGACGAUGUCCCUGUUAUCAGGCCCAGUGAAACCUGCCCAGUAAAGGAGCUGGAACCAUGCUGUGUCAGACCAUGAAGUGUUGUGCUAUGGUGCUGGCACACAUUUCUGUUUGUCAUUGUUGCUUUGGGAAGGCCACCUUUUGGCAGAGGUAUAGAAUAAACAGGGUGUGUAUGUGGAAAUGCAAGAGGCAAAUUAUUUAACUGUGACAACAAGGUUCAGCAAGGGUCUGAUUGUGGCAUCUCUAGAUGUCUCAGAAGGCCACAAGUAACUGGUGUGUACAGCAAGCAGUUGUUUAAAGUUGCCAGUGUUGAACUACUUAAAACUCAUCAACUUGUAAUGCUGAGGAAGAUGGAAUUCUGAAUGCAGCCAGUCACGUCUGCUCAGACUAAGUGAUUUGAAGGUGACAGUCUGGGACCCUACAAUUUUGGUUCUGCCCAGGUCCUUCAAUAUGGAGUUGUUCUUUUCCUUCGAGGCCUCAGAAAUAGAUUAGCUGCUUGAGUAAUCCACUUGGAUGCUCAUGAAUAAUGUGAUUAGACUCUUAGGAUCACACCAAAGCAACAGGGGUUGGUUCUGUCUGGCAAAAUGUGUGUGGAAAACUUGAUACUUCGCUUUAUUCUCAUUGUCAUGGUACUCAAAAGUCUACUAACUCUUUGCAUUUGUUCACACUGUUUAUGUUGGGAUAUGUGGUGUAUAGACUCUUAUUAAGCAACAACAGAAAAAUCUUUGGUUUGCAUGUGUGAGAAUGAAAGGGUUUCUGUGGUCAAGAUUAAGAAAUACAGUGGCAGUAUUUCUAUACCUUUCUGUUUUAAUGGUAUGGUUCUUUUGGUUAGUACUUAUUUUUGCAUCAAAACCUGACAAAAUUUAUUUCAUGAUUUAAAAAAGGACCAAGAAAGAUUUUAUAUUUGGAAAAACCCUCUGAGCUGAAGGUCUAACAAAUGGCUUAGGAUGAAUUCUUAACCCUGUGGUCUUAUAUCUACCAGUGGAAUUAAGUCCCAAAUGUAGGUUUUGCAGGAAAAAGAAAGUACUAAAUCGAAUUUGUUUUAGAAGUAACUAUAAAGAUCACACUGUUCUGAAGAGAAACCACUUUGACAAAAAUAACUUCUACUUUUCCCAGCAUGCAUAAAUAUUUUAAUUUUCUUACAUGAAAGAUUAACAAUAGGAGGAAAAAAAUAUACUGUCUCAGUUUUGGUUUAUUUGGCAUAAAUAUGAAGCAAAAAAGAGACCUAAAAUAAUUCAAGUCAUUCUAUUAAAACAAUUACAACUGUGUCUUUGUGCCUAAUAAAUAUUGUAUGUAUCCUUGUGUAUCAUACGUUAGGAAUAAGGACUGUAAACUGAGCAGGCUUCAUUCUACCUUGUUGGAAAUAUUUAUGAUCAAGGAUUGCUGAACAGCUUGGCAAGGGUCACUACAUGACUGAUUGCUAGAUCUGAGAGUCCUUAGAGAUAUGUUAUGUAUUGGUUUCGGUUUAAUAUUUUUCCAUUAGCAUUCCUUAUACAACGAUUGGAUGAUGAUGACUGUGUCAGGUUGAUGGGAAUAAAUGCCCAGAAACUGAAGGACACUACAGUCCCCUUAGUCUCUCCUCCCUGGUAAUCCAAAAGAGGAACACAUUUCUGGCUGAUCUUGACCUGAAAAGUAAGAAAUUAAUUUUUCAGGGAUGGCUCAGACAUUUUAUCCAAUGACUGAAAAAAGCAUAUAAAAUUCAUAUGCUUUUUAGGUAAAAAGGUUGGCUAGAAGCCUUCCUUAUUCUGAAUGAGUGUCUUAUGACAAUUUAUAGAAUUGUUCUGCUCCUCUUGCUCCCAUGAACCUUGAACUUUUUUUUUUUUCUUUUUUUUUUUUUUUUCCCCUUGAAUGAGAGGAUAGCUUCACCAGGCCUGUUAGAAAAUGGUCUUUUUUAUCUGAGUAAUACAUACAUGGGUGUUAGCUCCUGUCAUUUUCUUUCAGUUAACAUGCUAGAUCCCGACUUACGGUGUCAAAAAAAACCAGAACCUCAAGAUUCCCUAAAUAAAACAUUCACAACUUUAUUUUUUUGAGGGAAACUUGAAUCUGUUAAAAAGAGGUAAAUGUGCUUUCAGAGUUACCUACUAGGCGAAGUGGUUUCAGAGGUUAUGGGAAGGAGUUGUAGACCCCUGUGCAGCCUGGGUAGUAGCCUGGGACUUGGAGGCUCAGCCCAGAACUGUCCUGCACCUGGUCAGGAGCUGCAUGUGGUGCCACCCGGUGAGGUCAGGUAGUGACCAGGUGGGGUUAUGGUCUGGUGUUUACAGCUUUGGAUUUUAGGGGUUUCCUUUCCACCUGGAUUCUUUACUCUAUUUAGCCAAAUAACUCUAAAGGCCUUUUUAGAAGUAUUUUGCAAAUCAAGGAGACAGAUGUAUAUCUAGCUUAGUUUAAACAAAUUUAUUUAUUAAUUUGGUAUGCUACAAGUCUUUCUCACAUAUUUCAGUUCAAAAUUCAGACUGGUGUUUCUAAAAUCUUUAUUCUUAUUUUCUUAAUAUGUUUACUUGAACCUUCUAAACCACUGAAAUUCCUUUUUUCUUUGUUCCCUUGAUAAUACACCUAGAAUUGUACUUUUUCCAAAUUUCCUGUAGAAAUCCUGUACUUACACAGAUGAAUUUUAGAAGUUCCCCAAGAUAAGGUUUGUUUUUUUUUUUUUAAAUAUAAUAUUCUUUUUAUAAACUAGAUUUAUUUUCUUCCUCAAGUAAUUUCAUGCUUCUGUUCCCUAUCUGCUAAAGACUACAGCUAGCUAGAGGGAAAUCAGACACAGUUUUAAAUCCCUUCACAAAUUAUUUUGUCACGUCAGUGACAAGAAUAACCUGAUAAAUAGUGUCAGUUUGUUUGUCAAUUGAAAUCCAGAAUGAGACUUCCUAAAUAAACACAAUGAACACUUGAAGACUGAAUACUUGACGAUAAAGAUCCUCUGUUUUUACAAUAUACAGGUCUAAUAUCAAUCCCUAAGCUUUUCAAUGCGGUGUGUGCUGAGACAGACUUUUAGCAGGGUCUGUUGUGAUAGGACAAGGGGUAGUAGUUUUAAACUAAAGGAGGGGAGAUUCAGGCUAGACAUGAGAAAUAAAUUUUUUACAAUGAAGGUGAUAAAACACAGGCACAGGUUGCCCAGAGAAGUGGAAGGUGCUCCAUUCCUGGAGACAUGGGGGAAGAACUAUAAUAUUAAACCCUAUCUAUAAACUUUAAAUAAUGCAGACAAUUGUUUUCCUCAUUAUAAGGAGGGAGAACCAGGGAUUGUGUUAUAAGAAAGUACUUCAGACUGCAUUGUUAUGAAGUGCUUAAGAACAGAUCUCUCCUGAUGUGAUCAGAGCUAAGGAAUUUGUUUGUGGUACUCUCAGGAUGAAUUGUAGCUCUAUUUAACUGGAGCAGGGUGGAGUUAUUUUAAUGAAACCGGGAGCAAUCUAUAGUGGUGUAAUACCCAGGGACUACGUGCUGUGCCUCAGAUGCUCUCAGGCUCCACGUGUGCUAGAGGAAAAAACUCCAAGUGUAAUCUCACCGGAAAACAUUGAAGUUGACCUCUCCUACCAGCCCCUGGAGAAGACCAGAAUCCAUUUAGGAAAGAAACUCUGGCUGGCACUUCAUUAUCAUGGGAGCUCCAUGGGAAACACUGCCAGAUCAAUAAGAUUAAAAAGAAUAAGAAAGCCAAAUUUUCCCUAAAAUAUUUCACCCAUGUCUUACAGGUGUAAAAAUGAAGAUGCAAAUAUUUGAAAAGAAAUCUGAUUUUUUUGUUCUGAAAAAUAUGUCCUCUGAGACACUUUUUGUGAGAUCAUCUGGAAGUUUUGUGAAAUGCUUUUGUGAGAAAGCAGAAGAAAAUUUAAAACUUAUUGCACACCAGGGCCAUUCUCAUGUUGGUUGUAACAGUAACAUAUUACAACAGCUUUGUGCAAGCCUAAGACAUUAAAAAAGGUUUAUGCCAGUAGAGAUUGACAUCCUCUGUGUAGGCUACGAUUUCAUGUAACAGCUUAGAUGACAAAAAUAGUUUAAGCAAGUUCCUGGCUAAUUCUGCCUGUCAGAGAAAUGCGGUUUGGGGUUAGGAAACGAUCAGUUGCACCAAUACAAUUGGUUGUGAAUCAAUAAACAUCAGCCGGUGUAUAGCCUCACAAGUGGUUCUGCCAGAGGUUCAAGGUGGGGAAGCACUGUGGAAUGUUCUGGGGAGGAGCAGAAGGGGCAUCUGUGUUCUCAGCUGGACCACUGACCCUGACAUUGCAUGUAAAACUGUUGCUGUGUGGACCAGCAAAAUUUGAAUCUCAGCUGAGGUAAAUCACAUGGUGAAGCCAAAAAUGGCAAAGCUAUGUAGACUUGGGUUGUUGAGAGUUUGUCUCAUUGAUUCCUCUCCUCUCAUUUGACUCCUUUGGCUGUUUAUCUUCUAUAGAAAUAGUGCAUGCUGGACUUACAUGAGUGGCUUGUACCCCUCUUUUAAGUGAUUUACUGCUUCACAGGGCAAAUUUAAGAAGAAAAAAAAAAGUCAUCUGCUUUUCUGUCUUCUACCCUUCCACGCUGCACUCAAUCUGCUCCUCAGUUUUGUGCCCUCUGGACAAUUUGAGCACUGAGGAUUUUUAUAUCAAAAGGCUUUUCAGGUGCAACAGAGUGAUUCUAAGUAAAUGUGACUCUGAGUGAAGGGAGCCUAGUUUUGCUCUGCUUGAAAACAAGAAAAGCAAUGUUGCUUUGACAAAUGUUUCUCUUGGCUGUUAAAGCAGGGAAAUGUGAAAAAUACUUGGCUAGUUUAGGUAACAUGCCUGUAUUAUAGCUGUUGAUGUAUAGAGGGAUCUUGCAUAUACUCAUAUACUAAAGUGGCUGUAGAAACAUUGAAGCAUAACUAAUUUUAACUGAAAGAGGAAGUCUUAUUUCCAGUAUAAUUUGUACUCUAGUAGAUUACAUUCCCACCUGUCAUGCGAACAGGACACCAUACUACAAGCUUUUGUUGGAUGAGAAGCAUGGGUGCCUCUCUAAAUAUUUUAGAAGUAUCUCUCCUGGAAACAUCUUGUAAAUGAGCAGCUAUUUAAUAUUUGCUAGGGAGACUAUGCUGCAGGUGCAUGCACCACAGCUCCUGAUGGUGUAUGCGUAACCAAAAAGACUAAACUCCUUUCUAACAGAAUGAGGGGAGAUAAUAUGCAUGUCAAGCCAUUCAGUGGCUGUCACUAAAAGGUUUUCCUUGCAUCUUCCCCUUUUUUCUGCCUGUCCACUACUCCCAGUCUCAAGGACCUGUCUUCUUGCUCUGGGGCUCACCAGACUGGUUGGUGCUUAAAGUCAGUAUCCCAACAAAAAGCCAUCCAUGUGGCUUUUAAAAUGAUUUUUUUUUUUUUUUUUUCCCAUUCCCCCCCAACCCCUCAUCGCCCCAGACUAGUGAAUUGAAACAGUUUGUUAUUUGGCUAGGCGUAUUUAUUCCAGAGCAGGCACAAAGGAGACCACAGGAAUAUGUAUCUGGAAGUGAGGGGAAGGUGGUGUGGAGGGAGGACAUUCUCCCUCCUGCAGCCUCGAGACAGCAUUGUGUAAUUGCCAUAUGAUGCCCUAGGACAAAAAUAACUGACUAAUGCAGAAUAAAAUAUCAUAGAAGGAUCACUUAUUAUCUCUUGCUUCAUGAGUUUUAUUUCUUUCCUGCCUAUAAUUCAGACUCUCUCUUAUAAAUAGCAUCUGGUAGUUUCUGCAGAAAGUAUUAGCAAAUAUGUUUCAUGUAAAUUGAAUUUGUUCCAGGAGUAAUCACAGUGAUCAGAUUAGCUUUCAGUAGAUUUUUUUUUUUAUUUAAUAAAGCUUUGUGAAUAAAAAUUGUUGUGAAAAUUCUUGUCAAUAUACCUCAGCAUGCAAGUGUUCGCAGAAACCUAAACAUGCACAACUGCUUGGACUAAAAUUGUUCACGUCACAUUCCUGAAAGCUUUUUGAACUUGAAAGACAUCUCACUGGGAAACAGAACAAAACUGCUUCUCUCUUGUGGUCAUUCAGUAGCUAACAUGUAAAAUAAUAUAAAUGGUGAUUAUUUAGUGAAUAAUCUACCAGUUGAAACAUGUUUGUAAUUAUUAAGAGACUGGCUUAAGGAAAAAGAUAGAAACAGCAGAAUGCUUGUAAAUAAGUCUGAACUCUACAAAGAUUCCUGGCUUGGAUAAAAGUGUCACUUCAUGUGUUUGAAGGGAGCUAAGCCAGUUUUCAUCAAGUGAAUGUCUUCCGUUUUCACUGAGGAGUAAUAUUUGACCAGCUGUAGCUCUAAUAAUUGUAUAACUCAUUAACAUUUUCCAAAAUGAUGUGUUCAGAUGGUGUCUGACCAGUUUGGUAAAUAGCAAAUUAAUGUCAGCAAUUCAAAGUGUGUUUGCAGAAUUCACAUACAUUAAGGAAAAAGAAGGCACUUUCUACUGAGUUUGGGUUUUAAGUCUUACUUGGCAAUAUUACGUAGUCUGCUUUUUACUGACCUGUACAAACUUGCUUAGCCUUCAGGUUUAACUGUUCAAAUGCAGUCUUUGGGGUUUCCCAGUGAAUUACUGCAAUAUUUUCUCCCCUUAUCCCCUGUCUCAGUCUUGUCAGAGAUUGCUUACAGGUUCUUUAGCUGUCCCUUGUUCCCAUUGCAAAAGUAAAAGCCGGUUAAAGUUUUGGCCAGAUGAUGGCUAUGAAAACAUUUAGACUGACAUGGAGCUUUGUUAGUUGACAUGUGUGAGGAAAGUCACUCUUAGGUAGUGGAGGGUGGGGAGGGAGUUUCCUUGAUCAGCUUGGUUUCAUCUGAAGUCUACGGAGAAGUAAUAAACAGUGGUUAGUCCUAACUUAAUCUCUGAUAGUUUCAGCCUUUGCAUCAGUUGCUUCAUAACAUGACAUGAUUAUCUUAGUAGGAGUCUCUGAGCCUCUGUCUCUGAUGGGUUUACCUGUAGCAGUGGAAGAUGUUACUCCUGCCUCCAGGAAGGAUUAACAGAGGGGGAAGAAGAACAUGUGCAUGGCUUCUGCAGUGCCAGAGGUGACAGCCUGGCUGAGAUUUGUGGACUGCCAGUGAAGAUGGCAUUGCAGCAAGUGACAAAUUGUAAACACAGAUCCAAGCACGUGUCCUUUUUUGCCUACUCCCCCAGCAAGUGAUACACUCUGGAGAAAGUCCCAGGUCACUCUUCACCACAUUUAUCUUCCCCUCUAGUUGCUUCUUCAGGUUACAAUUAUCAACUUGAGUUCUAACAGAAUGGAGCUUAAGCAGCAUUUGAUAACUCUGGGCAUCCCAAAUUUAACACAAAAUAAAAAUGAAACGUAACUUGAGAUGUACUCUCACCAAGUAGUGUUAUAUUAGACAACCCUCAGGCAAAACCCUACUAUUUCUUCUUGGCAUAUUUUUUUCUUUUCCUUCACUGGCAGCAUUCUUGCAGGUUCUGUGGUGGAGAGGAUUUAAAAUAUAGUUCAUGUGUGAUUAAAGGUUUAUUGGUUUUGAGUUUUAUUGUUGUUGUUGUUGUGUGGUUUUUUUUUUGUUGUUUUUUUUUUUUUCCCUCAGUUAAUCCUCUUCCUUUCCAUGGAGAAGAAAGAGCUAGAAAGUUUCAAAUACUGUUUAAAUUCAAGCACUGAAUUAUUUUUGUUGUCUGAAUGUGUAGUGUAAAUUUUGUGGGUGUUUGAGAAGAUCAGUGCAUAACUCACCUAGGCCUUUUUUUGCUACAAGAAUAUAUUGCAAGCAGAGUGUAUAUACAUUUAUACAUAUUUAUUUUUUUUAAAAAAACAACACUUUAAUGUAAAAUACAAGUAUGUGCUCUUAUAGCCAUUGGGCAAAAUGAAAAAGGCUGUGAACUCAGCUUUGGAGGCAGAAAGUUUCUAGUGAGAUUUGAAGUAAGUUUAAUGCUGUUGAUGAGGCACUUGAAUGUACUUGGCCCUUUGAGGCAGUUAAAUUAAGUAGUGCUGGUACAGGAGAGCAUCUUAAACUGGCUCUUCCUCAUGCUUCGUUUCCUCCAGUUCCUCGUCAGCAGCACAGCCUGAUUUGCAGUCCUGGCUGGUUUCUCAUACCGUACUCAUGUGUUCGCUGUGCCUGUUCCUCUGGCUAUCAGUACUUCAGUGCUGCUGGAGGCAUACUAAUCUCUCCCUACCAAUAAUAACUCUGCUUGUAAGAUUGCAUUCUAGUGGAAAUAGUAGCCCUUGGGUUUCUGCGGAAGAAAUCUUACGAUGUACUUCAUUGGAUUCUGUUAAUUAUUGUGGCUUAGGAGAAAAAAAAAAGCCCCAAACAUUUCAGUAAUAAAAAUGAAUGAUGCACUGCUGUGAGGGCUGGGACUGAUAAGGAUAUGAUUGGUGUGUUUGCUCUGCAUUUCCACUGGUACAAAUGGCUUUGAGCUGGAAAGGCUGAGUUCAGGAGCAGCUGGCUGUGUGUAAACCCAGACCUUCUGAAGUUAAGAGAAUGCAUUAAACCCUCUGGUAAGCUAGUUGUGUGUGUGAAAUAGGCACCCUUAGAAAAAGCUUAGAAAAACCCAACCAACCUUGUCUUCCUCCCCACUGGAGCAUAUCCACAGAUAAGAACCUCACUUUUCUCAAAAAGCAGGGUUAAUAGCCAGUCUGAGGGAUGGGUAAUAUUCUAAAUUGUCUGUUUUCCUGAAAACAAAAGCAUAUAAUGUACUUAGAAUCAUAGAAUCAUUUUGGUUGGAAGAGACUUUAGGAUCAUCAAGUCCAACCAUAACCUAAAUCUAGCACUUAGCCAUGUGCCCAAGAACCUUGUCUAUAUACCUUUUAAACACCUUCAGGGAUGGUAACUCCACCACUUCCUUGGGCAGCCUGUUCCAUGAAGAAUUUUUUCCUAAUAUCCAAUCUGAACCUUCCCUGGUGCAACUUGGGGCUAUUUCCUCUUGUCCUGUCACUUGCCUUGUGGUUUAGUCUCUGUGAAUACUCAAGUUCAACCUGUUUUUCAGGAAAAGUACAUUAUUUUCAACAUGUGCUUUUGAGUAGUGGAGUCACAAGUUAUGCCUUAUGUGUUGUGAAAGCACUUGAUGAAGUAGAAAGGUUCGUUGGAAAUAUUUUCUAGACAUUCAAUAAAAAUCUUUUAAAUGAUCCAAAAAAUUUAUAUCUCCACUAAGGCUGGCCAUGGGAAGAAGCUUAUUUAAACUUUGCACUUGGAUGGUGGACUUUCCAGAAAAAUAAACUUCCUAGAAUUCUCUUUUCCCAUCAUGUUGUCCUACUACUUUCCUUUAGCUGAUCUUGCCUAAUCUCUAAGGAGCAGCUACAGCCUGUGAAUGUAAACAGAGAAAAGAACUACAUGAGUUAUUGUUUUAUGUGUUUUUUUAGUGAAAUGAGUGACAUCUGUGCAAUAUAAAUGAAUUGCCAUUCAUAUUGAACAUUCUUUGCUACUCUGUUUCAGGACAAAUGUCUAAAUGGGUAUAAAAUGUCAACCCUGUCUAAUCAAACUCUUGCUAUCACCUUCAGAAUGAUUACUUAGGUCCUGCACCUGGGUCAGGGUAACCCCUCAUAUCAAUACAGGCUGGUGGAUGAAGGGAUUGAGAGCAGCCCUGCCAAGAAGAACGUGGGGUACUGACGGACAGAAGAUUGGACAUGAGCUGGUGAUAUGUACUUGCAGCCCAGAAGGCUAGUUGUAUCUUGGGCUGCAUCAAAAAGCGUGGCCAGCAGGGUCAGAGAGGUGUUUCUGCCCCUCUACUGUGCUCUGUUAAGGCCUUAGUUGGAGUACUACAUCCAGCUCUGGAGUCCUUAGUACAGAAAAGACAUGGACCUCUGUUGGAGUGGGGCCGGAGGAGGCUACCAAGAUGAUCAGAGGGCUGGAACACUUCUCCUAUGAGGAAAGGCUGAGAGAAUUGUGGUUGUUCAGCCUAGAGAAGAGAAGGCUUCAGGGAGACCUUAUUGCAACCUUUCAGGACUUAAAAGGGGCCAAUAAGAAAGGUGGGGACAGACCUUUUACCAGGGCCUGUUACCACAGGACAAGGGGUAAUGGUUUUAAACAAAAAGCGGAGAGAUUCAGGCAAGACAUGAGGAAGAAAUUUUUUACAAUGAGAGUGAUAAGAUACUGGAAGAGGUUGUUCAGAAAGGCGGUAGAUGCCUCAUCCCUGGAAAAAUUCAAGGCCAGGCUGGACAGGGCUCUGAGCAACCUGGUCUAGUUGAAGAUGUCCCUGCUUAUUGCAGGGGGAUUGGACUACAUGACCUUUGAAGGCCCCUUUCAAUCCAAAGUAUUCUAUGGCUCUACUUGGGGAACAAUUGCAGUUCUUCCCCUUUCCUUUCUUCUUCUGCCUAUUUCCCUCUGAGUUUUAGGUGAAGUAUUGAUAAAAAUGAAGGACUAAACCACCCGCGGGUUAAAGGUGGUUUUGAGGGGCUUAGGGAUGGAUUGCCCAAACUCAUGGUGGUGCUGGUCUGGAAGCUACAAUGAAUUUGGCUCCUACUGUGCUAUGGAACAUGAAUCAUUAAGUGGAGAGCUGAUGCAGUCUGCUCAGUGACUGUGGGAGACCAAGCUACACUUGCCCUGCUGAAAUAUCCUUUCCUUAGACUAAGAGAUUAAUCUACCUCCACUUAAUCAUUUUGUGAGACAACCCCAAAUGUUUUAGCAGUGAUGGUUUUUAGUGACACUUUUUUCCUACAGCUGCAUUCAGGUUGCAGCAGCCCUGCUCUUGCAUGAAGUUGGGUGUUCUGAACUUUAAUUGACAUUAGCAGUGAUUUCAAGUGUCUGCAGGCAUUUGGUGAGAUAAACUUACCAAUUCCUAUCAGCUUUUCUAAAAGUGAUCAGACUGUGCUUGAAGCUAUGAAUAUUCACUAGUGAAGCACUGAGUAUAUUCUAAAAAAUGCACAUCUCUUCUUUGCAAGAAAAAGCAAUAACAUCACUUUGUGAAAUGUCCUGAGUUAUCUGAAAAAAUAUUUCUAUUAUUUCUGUCUUUGUAAAGAUGUUUUUAACCAGAGGAAAGAAAACCAAACCAAAAAACCAAAACAAAACCAAACAAACAAACACAAACAAAACCAAAAAACCCCACCAAAAUGUAACCAAAUCCAAGAGUGAGUUUCCAAAUGUGGCUCAUUGUAUGGCUGCGUGAAUACUGGUGCUGGCAGGAGGGUGAAGCAAAGGUGUGAACAGCCAAGACAGCAAGGGUGAGACCACUGUUUUUGACAUCAACCUACAAACCCCCACAACCCGCUCAUUUAAAAUAGUUAUGAAACUUGAAGAUACAGCUUUAGGAUAGCACUAAGGAGACAUAACCACAGGCUGAAAGAGGCAGUUCUGCUUUGCUGCUCAUUCCUGCAAUGCCAUGUGCUCUACUGCAUCCUGUGUUCCAACAUGAGCACUUAGAUGACCCCACUGGGCACCUGUUCAGGCACCUCACUCAGCAAGGACACAGAACACCUACAAGAAAAUGAAUAAUCUGCUUUGAUUUCCUGAGGCAGAGUGUUAUGGGUGCAGAGCAAAGCAAGGGAGUAUGAACAUGCAGCAUGGAACACAUGAAUUAAUUUAUGGACAGCGGAAAACUGUGACAGAUUUAGCUGUAGAGUAAAAUGCAGGCUGACGGGCUAUCUCUGGAUUUGAAUUAAAGAAAGAGAUUGAAUUUGUGUGUCCCACUUGCCAUUAAUAAAUGCAGUUACCUAAUUAUUGGCUAAUCUGAAGAACUAAUUGGUAUGCAUGUGAGUGACAACUAGGAAAAAAACAGUUUGGUUUUAACUGUGCUAUAUUUUUGACAGAUUGAAUGUCAUAGUUAAGUGGUUGUGGUUUUUUAUUGUUCAUAUCCCUCCUUCUUGAAUACAUAUAUUCUUUUUAUGGACUUGCAUUUAUGCACACCACAUGUGUGGGACUUGGAAGAUGCUCACAUGCGUUAUUUCAGUACACACUCUAGUUUUAGGUUGACUUAUAUUUUUAAGAGUUUCCUACUUAUCCCUAGCUACUACAGUUAAAAUGGAAAAGAUGUUAGACUUGAGGACUAAAUUCUGUAGUUCACAGUGGAUCUGAACUAUUUGUCUAUUUUUAUUGUUACUAAAGAUGAAAACAUGAGGGAAUUCUUCAUAUUAGUGCUGUGCUAGAAUUCCUUUGUACAGACUUAUUGCUUGGGCUUUUUUUGUACAGGAGAGGCUUUUGCUGGACAUUUGGUCUUCAGUGUGUAGUGUAAGGUUUUCUCUUUAGAGAUUAUUAGCACCUUUUUACACUCUGUCUAUAUAAACCAUACAAGCAGAUGGACAGUUUUGUCUGCUUUAAUUGUCUUUAAUUUAGCCUAAGUUUGAUUGCUAGCCAAGUAGUCAUCACCUGUGGAUCAGACUUGGCAGCCCUUUUGUUUCUCAGCCAGAUAUUUUGUUCACAGGAUUAUUUCCUUUUGAAAGGCCACACCAAAGUACAGCUGAAAAGCAAAUAAAACACACUACUGGAUUUCAAAUAAUAAAGAACUGCUGAACAUGUAAUUUCUCCUGUUUUGGUCUUUUUAGGAUUGUUAUUCAGUGCUUUUAUUGGCAUAGCUGCCAAAGACUAGGACAUAAACAAUUAGCUGGAAAUCAUCCCUUUUUUUUUCCCCUUUCCCUGCGCACAGGAAGUUUAACACAGUACAUCCCGUUCUGUUAGGAUGAACCUCUGCCUUCCUUAUUGUUCUUCAUUUUCUUAAAUAAUAAUAAUUAGUGUGUCAUAGGCUAGUAACAGUUAUAUGACACAAAAACAUUGAUGUAAUAAAAAAAAUAAGCUUGUAGUAUCGACUGUAAAGUACCCUGGAUUGGAUCCAGCUCCUCUGUGACUUACAGCAGUCUAAUUUUGUUGGAGUGACAUGUCCUGUCACUUGUUUACAAUCACUGAAGCUGAGUGAGAGGUCUCAUAUUUUCACUGUACAGUUGUCCCUGAGGGCGUUUUGCUCUCCCUGCCCAUUGUAGGGCAGUUAGGAGUGUGUCUGAAAGAGAUGGUCAGGAAAUAUGGACAACCUAAUGAAGCAUUCGCUCAUCUAAAUCAGAGCUAUUCUGUCUGAUGUGGCUGUUUUGUGUCAUCAGAAGAUCACUCAGUGUUGGACUGAAUCUCAAAGGUCCUGUCACACUUGUGUUAGAUCACUCAGUCUGGGUGACAUAGUGUAAACUGAUUGAAAUAAAGAAAGGGAUCUGGGCUUAACACUGAAACAGUGGGUUAAACGUGAUAUCUCCAUGAUAUGCAGCAAGACAGGGACAGAGAACUAACCCCAAGAAGACCUGACUUCACUCAAGGAAAUUACUAUUUUAGAUGCCUAUCAUUAUUAAUUUUAUUGCUUGAAACAGGCCUUGUGUAGGAACAGCUUAAACAAUAAAAGUUUUUCUCCUUUUUUUUUUUUUUUUUUUAUAUUCCUAGCUUAUAACUUAGAAUAUUAAAAAUAGAAUAAGUCCCCCUGAAUGUGACUCAAAUCUACCAUAGUGGUGGUAUUGAACUCAUAAAAUAUUUUACUUUUUUGUCUUGGGCAAUCUUCACAGAAUCACUGAAUGUUAGGGAUUGGAAGGGACCUCAAAAGAUCAUCUAGUCCAAUCCUCCACUAAAGCCACAGCUCUGGAAAGCAAGAUGUCAUGUAUAGCUGUUCUAGGCAACAGGUCCUACAGAUAGUACUAAACAAAUCUUCCAUCCAGGAACAGAUUUUAUAAGGCAGCUUUUAUACUGGUCAGUAUGCUGUACCUCAGUAACAGCUUUGUGUGUUUCACUCCUUUUUCAAGUAGGCUUGUAAAGAUUCAUUAUGAUCCUUGUCUUACUAACCAUAACCUUUUCUACCUGUGUUGGUCUUACAUUUUGUUCCACUAGUCCAGAUGUCACCAUCCCUCUUUUAUUACACUCCUGUGACCCACUGUAGCUCCCUGGAGUCCACCUUUCCUGGCCUGGCAGAAGCACUGCCAUUGCCUGUCCGACUUGGGGAUGACUUGCUCCUCCUUGCUUUGCCUCACUUUGACAGCAGGUUAAUAAAGCUUCUUAACCGUCUCUCAACCAGGGUACUCAGAACUCUGUUUUCCUAGAAUAACAGCAAAGGUGGUUAGAAGGGACCUCUUGAAGCCCAGCCUUUCCCUGAAAGGGGGAUUAUUACCACUACUAGAUCUGAUUUGUGAAAACUGUCAAGGAUGAAGAUUUCACAGUCCCUCUGAAUACUAUGGGUAACCUUCUCCAUCACUUCAUGGAUCUCUUAGGAGUUUUGGUGUUUUUUCAAGUGGUGACUUUUUUUUUUUUUUUUUUUUUUUUUGAGGGGGGAAGCAGGGGUGGAGGGCUGGUUUCUGUGUGUGUGUUUUAAGUUUUCCUACCUUCUCAAUGGGCAGCUUGUGGUUCUGGUCCAUGUUUAGCUUGAUUACCACUACUCAGAAGAGUUUCACUUUGUUGUCAUAUGUAACUGCCCAUCAGGCAGUAGUAGAAGCUCAAUAUGGAGCCAUUGACAAUGGAUCAUCAUGGAACAUGCAAAGGUGUACCUAAAUUAAUUUAUUUGGUUUAUGUAUUUUGGCUGAGACAAGUUUAUGUUUCUACUCCAGGGUGUCUUGUCUAUGUAGUACAAACAAUUCUUAAAAAUGUUUUAUUUCUCUAGCUUACUUGCAGCCCGACGGUGCCCUUGAACCAUUCAAACCCUGUUUCUGCUACAGAAAACAAAGAUUUUUGGCUAAGGGAGUGUUAGUAAGGAAUGUUUAAGAACAAAAUCUCUGAUAAAUAUGGUUUCUUCAGAGGAAAGAACCUGGUAAAACUAUUUUGUCUAAACUAUUGUUUUGUGGGUGUGGUUUCUUGCCCAGGAAUGGAACUUUAAAAGGCAGAAUUGGCUACAAGAACAACCUAAGGCAGGUGGAAGAUUUCUGUUAUUAGCUGCAUUCACACUGAGAUACUUGGACUUACACAACAAUUUUAGAGUGUCUCUGCUAUAGUUCUGGUCUCAAGGUUUAUAAACCCUUCCUUUCACUAACUUGUGCAUUUGCUCUUACCAACAAAGGGCCACUUCUUGGAAGAGUGUGCCUUGCUUUACUAUAGUUCCUCUGCCAGCGGGGUCAAUGAGUUAAAUCAUCUGGGAAAGAAGCAAAGAUCUUUCAGUGCUGUCCUGAACUCCUUCCAUUGCAGAAGCACCAAUACAUGGUAACUGUCAUAAAAGCCCAUUGUAACUUAAAAAGCUUCUCGAAUUAGUCAGUCUUUUCUCCAUUUAUCCCAGAAGAUGGAAUUGGCCACAAUGGAAGAGAAAGCCUUAAAUGGGUCAGUUAUUUACAGUGCAUUUGGCUUUCUUUUGUGUCUGAAAAAAAUUUGUAUUUAGUUUUUAUAUGAUUAAAAUAAAAGACAGAAGAAUCUGUCAGGGAAAAGAACCCAGGAUUUUAGGUAACUGCUUUUAGCAACAUAAAAAUGGUAUAGAAGCAAAGCUACCAGAUAUUUAAGUCUUGCUGGAACAAACACAAUUUUAAAAGUAAUUUCUAAGCUGUUUAGUGGUCUGUUCUUUCCCCAGAUUCCUGUUUUCACACCUCGUUAUUGACAUAAGGAUGUGGCUGGGGUCAGUAGCAAUUUGGGAAAGAAAGCAGAACAAAUUUCCUGAUCGCCAUGUGAUAGUACAUCUGUCACUUCAGUUUAAGCCAGCAUCUAAAGCUACUGCAUUUGUAGGCAUUUGGCCAGAUUCUGAUAUAACUGGCAUCAGUUUUAGUCUUGUGUGACUAUUCUGUAAAUCAGGGUAUUUCCAGUCUAGUCAGCCAUGUAAGAGGAGAAUAAGGCUUGUUUUUACUAGGUCAGCCUUUUUGUAUAAUGUUUGUAGAGCCUUGGCACUUCAGCUUAGUCUCAUAGUUGCUUCUUAUCUGUUGCAAUUAACCUCCUUGAACUCUUUCUCUGUAGUGUCCCAGUUUGCUCAAAUGUUGGGUGUAGUAGAUGUGACUCUAUCACUUGUGAUCUGUAUCUUGAGGCACCAUCAUAAUCUGCUAUUUUGAAGGUUGUCUUUAUGGGCUUCAAGCAAAAUUUUAAUAUAAGGAGGCUUUAUUACAAGUGAUUAAAAGUUAUAGAUAAAAUGUUCAUAUGCAGUAAGAGAAGUGUUCUAAUAAACAGCCUAAUAAUGAGUUUAAUUCAAACAAGUAGUUACGGUGCAUAAUCCCCAUAGGUUUGCCAACUGUCUGUGAACCAGGAUGUCUGUCCUGACUAGGACUGAAUUUGUUGGGGAGUUGUGGGCAGAUAGCAAAAAAAAAAAAUCACUGUUGUGAUAUCUGUUAACACGAAACUGUGUGUUGUAACAUACUUUAACUGGGUACAACCCCAUCAGGAAACCAAGUCCAAGAAUCAGGUUUUCCAUAUUGGAAAUCAAGUCAGUCUAAUUGGACAGGUGAAAUCUACAUGCCAGAAAUAAACUAGAUUAUCUCUGAAAAACCCAGGUGGGAUAAUUCAACUAAUUCCAAACAAUUUGGUUCAAUAGAUUUGAUUAAUGCAAUAAAUUAGAAAGUAUAACUCCUUUGGAAGUGAAAUAGUUGAGAAUAAACAGAGUUAUAAUGCCAUAAAAUAUCCCAAAGUGGUUAGUGCUCCUGUUAAUUAGAUUUCCAGGGGAAAAUUUGGACCAAUAGCCCUUGUAGAGCUACUGGCCAAGUCAGUAACAUUGCUUGUGCUGAUCAAUAAAGUAUGAACAUUUAUAACAGUCAGUCCUUAUGUGGCAUAGCUGUCUGAAUUUUAAAUAUUAAAUGAUAAAGAAUGGCAAAAUGUGAUGAUAGGAAUGUUUCUAAAGGCGUAAAACUGCACAUGACAGAAACUGUCAUGUCAGAAGGCAAUAAAUCACAGAGUGGUCUGUUGUCACCUUUCAGUGUGAUGUCCUUUUAGUUCAAUCAUAAAUUAGGUCAUUUUUAUUUUUUCUCAAUGUAUGUUUUUACUUAUUCUGUAGCUAAAAUAGACCAAUGCAAAUCUCUGAGAGUUUUGCUAUGGCUCUGUGCAGGUGCAGCUGUUUUUCAUGUGUUGCAGUGAGAGACAGAGAUAACAGCAACUAUUUCACUGAUCAUCAUGUUAUCUUCGCACUGUGUAUUUCAUACUUACUUGUUUUAUCAUUCCUAAGAAGUAAUUUUAUAGGUUCUUAGGGUAAGCAACAUAGCUAUUGAGACAUUCAGUUAAUUCAGAGAUUUUUCUUCCAAGUUAUUUUGUGUGCUAUUCUAUGUGUUAUUAGUGCUAUGAUACUGUAUGUAUUUUGCAUAGUCUUCUAUAUGGAGAUAACCAUAGCCCUACUUGUAGUUUUUUGGUGAACAGGAAAGCCACAUGAUCAUCUUCAUUCUCAUUGAUACUACAUAUUAAAAAGUCUUGAGAUCGUUGCCAAAGGGUGAAGCUACUUGUUUCUCUCUUUUGUUUUUUGUUUUGUUUUGUUUUGUUACUGCUGGUUUCAGAUUUCUUAUUCAAUUUCUAUAUUCUGAGCAAUUAAUGGUUCAAAUCCUUAGUCUUUUCACUGCAAUCAAGUAACUGUGUAUCUCUUACAAACAAAAGCUAAGCUUUUUGUAUCCCCUCAUCUGUUCAGGAGCCGGCACUCUAAGGAAAAGUGCAGUCAAAAGUCUCAAUAUUUGACAUUCAUAUUUGUUUGUAGCCAGUAUCACCUUUUUUUUUUUUUCUUAAAGUAUGUAUUGAUUUUCAUUUAAACAUGAACACAUUAAGUCUACUCACAGGAAAACUAUGUUUUAUUUAGAAUGUAAUUUUGACAAUUGAAAAUGCUUUGAGUGCUGUAUUCAGGACUCAAACUGUUCUCUGUCCAUUUAAAGUAUAUUUUUUCUCUGCCUGUUGUCUUUCAACUUUCCCAUCAGCAAUCACUGUUGGUAGCUGUGGGCCAAAUGGUCCAAAGCUAAUCCUGUAAGGAAUCAGAGGCUGAAUCUCUAUCAAAUAUUAAUCUGGAUGUGCUUUCCCCAUAUGCAGUGUCCUAGGUACAUUGCAUGCAGAUCAAUUUGGAAUUCAGGGCAUUUCAGCAGGUUUUCUAAGUGUCUUUAGGGUGCAGCUAACUUGUGACAUCUUUGGACACCUACAACGGGAGGAUGGAAAUUUUUGGAUGGAUUCUAGGAGGUGAGUUUACUGUCUUGGCAGAGCAAGAUCAAAGGGAUGAGAACUGAUAUGCCCUUGUCCUUCUGGUGACUCUGAGGAUGACAAUAAGACUACACAUCCAGGGUUUAGUACAGAUCUGAAGAGGAAGGAAGAGGAAAUCACCAGGGAGCAUAACAAAUAUAGUUCAUUUUCACAUGAUCAGGAAAGCUUUUUCAUGUGAUUACUACCAUCACUUGGAGUCUGGGCUAUCUGCCAUCAAAAAACAUAAUUUGUACUCCAGUAAUCUUAUUUUUUUAUAUAUAUGCAAGGAACCCUGGCAGGUUUCCCAUAGAGUAGUUCUGAGGAAAUAUGAAGGAAUUUGAGUUAGAACAACUGAACUUGGAUAAGCUCACAGCUUUUCCAGAGGAAAAAGAAAGGGGGAGAAAAACUUGCUAAAACAAAUGAAAAAAUGGUGCAAAGUCAUAGAUAAACAGUGAAAACAGGUAUUUAAGGAGCAAUGAGGUUGUAAGCCUCAGUAAACAAUUAUAGAACCCUGAUUUUGUCUUUUUGUGUUCAGAGGAAAAGAAUUUGUAGUAGCAGGAAGAUUAUAAAUGAAAAGAUCACUGAAAUAGGAAAAAAAAAAGUUUAAAUUUUUGUUCAUGGCAUUCACAAAAAAAAUUAUUUCAGCUAGCCUCACAGAAAUAUUUUGGUGCCCUCAUUUUCCAGCUCUGUGAUGUGUGACUGAGACAUAAAACUUCAUUAAAACUACAAAAAAAAAAAGAUGAAACACAAAACCUGCUACUUGUGAUUGGAAAAGUAUUUGUCUCAACAUGUGAAGUUGAUAGUGGAAGACUAUUUUUGGUAAAAAUCAGUGGAGAACAAGCAAUUUUUCCUCCUCUAGUUCUUCGAUAUCUUUCUUUUUGCCAACUUAAAAUUAAUUUUUCUUUAAUGUUCUUGAUCAAAUCACUUCUAUAUGAACAGUAGUGAAAAUGGUUUAGGUUUGCUAAGUUGAGAAAGUUAACAGUACCUCAGCCUAUAGCAUAUAUACAUAAUUUGUUAUUUUAGGAUUCUGGCUAAAGUGAUUGUGAGGUUCAGUGCCUUCUUUUUAUAAAUGUACUCAAUAGUCAUAAUGCAACUUAAAGGAGAGGAGUCUUUCAUCAGUGCGUCAAUAAUUCCUCAUGGUCCUGCACAUUUAUGAGUUUGUCCAUAUAUCUGGAUUCCACACAGAUACAACCCAAAGACUUUUGAAGUGAGUAGAAGUCUUGUUAGUGGCGAAAUCGCAAUCCCAGUCUUGGAAAAGGUUGAAUGAAUGAAGAACAUUGUUAAAUGUUUAACUUGGUGUAUAAAGAUUUAGU